UGAGGAAUAUUGGUCAAUGGCCGGAAGGCUGAACCAGCCAAGUCGCGUGAGGGAAUAAGGCCCUACGGGUCGUAAACCUCUUUUGUCGGGGAGCACUGGGUGACUUGCGAGUCAUCAGGAAGAGUACCCGAAGAAAAAGCAUCGGCUAACUCCGUGCCCGCAGCCGCGGUAAUACGGAGGAUGCGAGCGUUAUCCGGAUUUAUUGGGUUUAAAGGGUGCGCAGGCGGUACGGAAAGUCAGCGGUAAAAUUACGGAGCUCAACUCCGCCGAGCCGUUGAAACUUCCGCACUAGAGUGAGCGAGAAGUAAGCGGAAUGCGUGGUGUAGCGGUGAAAUGCAUAGAUAUCACGCAGAACGCCGAUUGCGAAGGCAGCUUACCGGCGCUCAACUGACGCUCAGGCACGAAAGUGCGGGUAUCGAACAGG
rnacentral:rRNA from 1 species